rnacentral:rRNA from 1 species
CCUUGCAAGACUAAAAAUAACUUCCCAACCCGAAAAUAAAUGAGCUGUCUACAGUUUGCUCAGCGCCCACCGCUUAAUGUUGCAAUAUUAUUGGAAAAACUGUAGUCAGGGGCUACAUACCUGUCACAUUUAUAGAUAGCUGGUUUUCCUAUAACCAAUAUAAGUUGAACGAUGUAGCCCUCAAAUGCUACCUCCACAAUAAAAUUAAGGACAAGCCUAAUUUUCCACCUUAUUUUUUUAGAAUAUAUCUAUCUCAGUAGGCCUACAAGCAGCCUCCCACUAUCACGUGACAGCAAAAAAAGCAAAAUAAAUUCAUCAAUCAAUACCCAAUAAAGGAAUAACGACCCUAACCCCCUGCCCUCCACCUAUGCAAGGACUAGUAUUAUCAAUACCCUAAAAGAAGGAACUCGGCAAACACAUACCUCGCCUGUUUAACAAAAACAUCGCCUGUAGACCACCCCAUUAUAGGUCCACCCUGCCCGGUGAAUUGAUUUUUUAACGGCCGCGGUACCCUGACCGUGCAAAGGUAGCACAAUCAAUUGCCUCUUAAUUAGAGGCCAGUAUGAAAGGGCAAACGAAGGUCUAACUGUCUCCUUUUAACCCAUAAAAACUUAUCUUCAGGUGAAGAAGCCUGAAUCUCUAUAAAAGACAAGAAGACCCCGUCGAGCUUUAGAUUAAUGUAGGACUCCACCAAUAUCAAAUGCAACCCCCUACAAAAAUGUUUGUUGGGGCAACAAUGGAACCCAUCUUCCACCAAAACCAAGACCCCGAGUCUUACAAAAGAUCCCCCAUAGAUCAAAGGCACCAGCUACCGCAGGGAUAACAGACUAAUUCCCCCCACGAGCCCGAAUCAACUGGGGAGUUUGGCACCUCGAUGUUGGCUUAAGAUACCCCUCAGGUGCAGCAGCUUGAAACGGUAGGUUUGUUCAACCUUAAAAAUCUUACAUGA